AGAGUUUGAUCAUGGCUCAGAUUGAACGCUGGCGGAAUGCUUUACACAUGCAAGUCGAACGGCAGCACGGACUUCGGUCUGGUGGCGAGUGGCGAACGGGUGAGUAACAUAUCGGAACGUAUCCAAUAAUGGGGGAUAACUAAUCGAAAGGUUGGCUAAUACCGCAUACGCCCUGAGGGGGAAAGCUAGGGAUCUUCGGACCUGGCGUUAAUGGAGCGGCCGAUAUCUGAUUAGCUAGUUGGUGAGGUAAAGGCUCACCAAGGCGACGAUCAGUAGCUGGUCUGAGAGGACGACCAGCCACACUGGAACUGAGACACGGUCCAGACUCCUACGGGAGGCAGCAGUGGGGAAUUUUGGACAAUGGGCGCAAGCCUGAUCCAGCCAUUCCGCGUGAGUGAAGAAGGCCUUCGGGUUGUAAAGCUCUUUCGCAAGGGAAGAAAACUUAUCCUCUAACAUAGGAUGAGGUUGACGGU
rnacentral:rRNA from 1 species